ACUCUUCGUAACAAGAAGAGUUUGUCCUGGCUCAGGACGAACGCUGGCGGCGUGCCUAAUACAUGCAAGUCGAACGAACUCUGGUAUUGAUUGGUGCUUGCAUCAUGAUUUACAUUUGAGUGAGUGGCGAACUGGUGAGUAACACGUGGGAAACCUGCCCAGAAGCGGGGGAUAACACCUGGAAACAGAUGCUAAUACCGCAUAACAACUUGGACCGCAUGGUCCGAAUUUGAAAGAUGGCUUCGGCUAUCACUUUUGGAUGGUCCCGCGGCGUAUUAGCUAGAUGGUGGGGUAACGGCUCACCAUGGCAAUGAUACGUAGCCGACCUGAGAGGGUAAUCGGCCACAUUGGGACUGAGACACGGCCCAAACUCCUACGGGAGGCAGCAGUAGGGAAUCUUCCACAAUGGACGAAAGUCUGAUGGAGCAACGCCGCGUGAGUGAAGAAGGGUUUCGGCUCGUAAAACUCUGUUGUUAAAGAAGAACAUAUCUGAGAGUAACUGUUCAGGUAUUGACGGUAUUUAACCAGAAAGCCACGGCUAACUACGUGCCAGCAGCCGCGGUAAUACGUAGGUGGCAAGCGUUGUCCGGAUUUAUUGGGCGUAAAGCGAGCGCAGGCGGUUUUUUAAGUCUGUUGUGAAAGCCUUCGGCUCAACCGAAGAAGUGCAUCGGAAACUGGGAAACUUGAGUGCAGAAGAGGACAGUGGAACUCCAUGUGUAGCGGUGAAAUGCGUAGAUAUAUGGAAGAACACCAGUGGCGAAGGCGGCUGUCUGGUCUGUAACUGACGCUGAGGCUCGAAAGUAUGGGUAGCAAACAGGAUUAGAUACCCUGGUAGUCCAUACCGUAAACGAUGAAUGCUAAGUGUUGGAGGGUUUCCGCCCUUCAGUGCUGCAGCUAACGCAUUAAGCAUUCCGCCUGGGGAGUACGGCCGCAAGGCUGAAACUCAAAGGAAUUGACGGGGGCCCGCACAAGCGGUGGAGCAUGUGGUUUAAUUCGAAGCUACGCGAAGAACCUUACCAGGUCUUGACAUACUAUGCAAAUCUAAGAGAUUAGACGUUCCCUUCGGGGACAUGGAUACAGGUGGUGCAUGGUUGUCGUCAGCUCGUGUCGUGAGAUGUUGGGUUAAGUCCCGCAACGAGCGCAACCCUUAUUAUCAGUUGCCAGCAUUAAGUUGGGCACUCUGGUGAGACUGCCGGUGACAAACCGGAGGAAGGUGGGGAUGACGUCAAAUCAUGCCCCUUAUGACCUGGGCUACACACGUGCUACAAUGGAUGGUACAACGAGUUGCGAACUCGCGAGAGUAAGCUAAUCUCUUAAAGCCAUUCUCAGUUCGGAUUGUAGGCUGCAACUCGCCUACAUGAAGUCGGAAUCGCUAGUAAUCGCGGAUCAGCAUGCCGCGGUGAAUACGUUCCCGGGCCUUGUACACACCGCCCGUCACACCAUGAGAGUUUGUAACACCCAAAGUCGGUGGGGUAACCUUUUAGGAACCAGCCGCCUAAGGUGGGACAGAUGAUUAGGGUGAAG
rnacentral:rRNA from 1 species